rnacentral:rRNA from 1 species
AGUGAACGCUGGCGGUAGGCCUAACACAUGCAAGUCGAACGGCAGCACAGUAAGAGCUUGCUCUUACGGGUGGCGAGUGGCGGACGGGUGAGGAAUACAUCGGAAUCUACUUUUUCGUGGGGGAUAACGUAGGGAAACUUACGCUAAUACCGCAUACGACCUACGGGUGAAAGCAGGGGAUCUUCGGACCUUGCGCGAUUGAAUGAGCCGAUGUCGGAUUAGCUAGUUGGCGGGGUAAAGGCCCACCAAGGCGACGAUCCGUAGCUGGUCUGAGAGGAUGAUCCGCCACACUGGAACUGAGACACGGUCCAGACUCCUGCGGGAGGCAGCAGUGGGGAAUAGUGGACAAUGGGCGCAAGCCUGAUCCAGCCAUACCGCGUGGGUGAAGAAGGCCUUCGGGUUGUAAAGCCCUUUUGUUGGGAAAGAAAAGCAGCAGGUUAAUACCCCGCUGUUCUGACGGUACCCAAAGAAUAAGCACCGGCUAACUUCGUG